GUGACCCUCGGGCGCGGUCGCGCAAUGCGCAGUCGCUGCCGGCAUACGACGCCGCCCCCUACCUCCCCUCUCCCGGGACCUUUCGCGCGACGGAAGACGGCGCGUUUCCCUCCCGCCUUCCUCCCUCGCGUGCUCCAGAUUCAGCGGCGAUCGUCGGAUGCCCUCGCGCACUUUCACUCGCACCUACACCAUGCGGUGCGCGGCAGCGGUGUUAUCGUCCUUGGACCUUGUACGCAACAUCAUGGAGAUGGCGACGGUGACGACGACUGAGAAAAUGCGCCUGGAGUGUCCAUAUUGCUACAUGCAUAUUGCGUGUUUCUUUGGAAUAUAAUUGGUAUCGCAAUAAAAUAAACGCACAAGCUUAGUCUAGAGCUGUGUACGGUGCAGUAAUAAUGCAUAAGUAGCGUAAAAAGGGUCAAAUGAAACCUUGCGCGAACACACACACACGCACACACUGCAACCACCCCCUCCUUCACGGACGGUCUCUCGUAGUGGGUGAGUGGCAGUAACCGAGAAAAGAAGAAGGAAGCUUGCCGGCCAUGGCUCAACAGGGACAGCAUCAACCAUCGACGGCGUCGGAAGCGUCCUUGCCACCACCGGAAGAGUGGAACGUCCACGGUACACCCGGCGCGUGACGGGGACCACCGAGUACGCGGCCCUGUGCACGUUCACCUACUGCCUGCCCGUGGGCGCGUGCGGCGUCGCAGUCCUCAUCAUUUACGUCUUCAUCGAGGAGACGGGAAUCUUCACGCCGUUCAGAGAGCGUA